rnacentral:rRNA from 1 species
UACGAAGGGGGCUAGCGUUGCUCGGAAUCACUGGGCGUAAAGCGCACGUAGGCGGAUCUUUAAGUCAGGGGUGAAAUCCUGGAGCUCAACUCCAGAACUGCCUUUGAUACUGGGGAUCUCGAGUCCGGGAGAGGUGAGUGGAACUCCGAGUGUAGAGGUGAAAUUCGUAGAUAUUCGGAAGAACACCAGUGGCGAAGGCGGCUCACUGGCCCGGUACUGACGCUGAGGUGCGAAAGCGUGGGGAUCAAACAGG